rnacentral:rRNA from 1 species
AGUGAACGCUGGCGGUAGGCCUAACACAUGCAAGUCGAACGGCAGCACAGUAAGAGCUUGCUCUUACGGGUGGCGAGUGGCGGACGGGUGAGGAAUACAUCGGAAUCUACUUUUUCGUGGGGGAUAACGUAGGGAAACUUACGCUAAUACCGCAUACGACCUACGGGUGAAAGCAGGGGAUCUUCGGACCUUGCGCGAUUGAAUGAGCCGAUGUCGGAUUAGCUAGUUGGCGGGGAAAAGGCCCACCAAGGCGACGAUCCGUAGCUGGUCUGAGAGGAUGAUCAGCCACACUGCAACUGCGACACGGUCCAUACUCCUACGGUAGGCAGCAGUGGGGAAUAUUGGACAAUGGGCGCAAGCCUGAUCCAUCCAUACCGCGUGGGUGAAGAAGGCCUUCGGGUUGUAAAGCCCUUUUGUUGGGAAAGAAAAGCAGCAGGUUAAUACCCCGCUGUUCUGACGGUACCCAAAGAAUAAGCACCGGCUAACUUCGUG